UCUUUACAGUAAAUGGAGCCAUCCAGAGGUGCUCCCACAUGGAAGUAUCCAGCACUAUCGCAAGGUUUAUAAAGUUCAAAGUGUAGCAUUUCACAGGGUUAAUUGCACUGCAGCAUUUGAUCCAACAUUUGGAGCCAUACUGUAGGCUCCACCUGGGGACCAGGUGUUGGAUGCGUUGGAGACAUUGCUAGAAGAAUCAGCUAUUGAUCAAGGGUUAGAUACUCAGUGCAUUGGGAGUUUAUUUGUAGAUAAAACAGUGAGGUUUUCUUCUCACGCUGCUGAAAAUACAUAACAACUGGAGCCAGACCCCCAAUCAAACCUGGAAUAAAAACCUGCAAGCAUCUUCACUAGCACAAGAGGAGUUGUAAUGCAAAUCUUGGCCCCCCUUGUCUGGGUCCUCCUCUCUCUAUUCUCUCCCAAGCUAGAGGGAGGUAAUAGAAUAAUGUAACAGUUCCUUGUGACUGGCGAGUGUAGUCUCAGUACUAUUUAGCAUAGCAGAGAUGCUCUGUUAAGACAGAGUUGUAUUAUUUUAUUUAUUCUGGGUUUCCAUAAAACUAUGUAAAGAAAUGGACAAGGCCCAUAUUUGAACCAGUAGGUAAAGCCUUAAGAAUGUACAACAUGCAUGUGUGUGUGACUGUGCUUAUGUGUUAGAGAAACAGAGUGAAUAGGACAAAAGAAGGGGGUAACUGGUUUAAUAAGGGACAUUUGCAAAGAGAAUUCUAAGUGCUCAAGCCCAAUAUUUCCUUCUGACCACUGACCAUCCCUUGGGUCUUCCUUGGACAUCUCCACUGUGGUGUGCCUUCACACAGCAUUCACGGUCCUGUGGGCUCUCGCCUCCUUGCCUGUCAGUUCCCACUGUUACCUGCUUUUCCAUCACACCAAACCUUUAAUGGUUUCCUGGGAGAGGCACAGCCCGCACAUCAUCACUCCUUUUCUGUGCUUUCCUCUCUGCCUGGAAAGUCCCUCUUCAUUUCUCUGUCUCUGUAGCACUUGUCACAUGGGACCUAUUUCCUCUUCACCCUGAACUAAGCAGGGAGACCAUUGAGGGCCUGGACAGUGUCAUGGUUAUCCUUGGAUACUUGGUACCUAGUAGAUAAAUACCCCAAAAGCACUUAGGACAAGAGGGCUAGCAGGACUGCUGGGGGCUUCUCCUCAUUCUGUUCAGCCAUAGUCUCAGUUCACGGGAGAGCAGGCUCCUGGGUGGUUCACCCGUACCGUUUUGCCAACAUAGACAAAGUUCUUAACUAAUAUUUCUGAAUUCAAGAAAUUACUUAAGCACCUCAGAUAGUGCCUGGAAUAAGGUAGAGACCUGAUAAACAUAGAACCAAUGAAUGAAGAAAAGCCAACCAGUGAAACAGCAAUCACACUCAUCACCAAAUGGAAUUUUUUCUUUUUCUAUGUUAAAUCACCUCCUUCAAGGUGGCUGACUUCAUGAUGCAUUGCAAAUCUCAGCCUUCAAAAUAAAGUGCUAAACUUCGAGGUAGCAUUUUGGAAAAGCUGACUUUUAUAUUUGUGCAGGGUUAUAUGUUUAAGUACAUUGAGUUUCAAAUUAGAAAAAAAAAACCAAUAUGAAUAAACAAAUAGUGCAGUAGUGCAAUCCUUAGUGUGACUGCCAUCAAGAUAUUGACCUGAGAAUUAGGCUGAAUGCACAUUGUCAACUAUAAUAUGUUACAUCCUUGCUGAUCAUAUGAUCCAGAAAAGAACUGUGGCACAGGAAAACAAGUUACUUCUCUUGGCAAAUCUGAAAUUUCAUAUCCUCCAAGAUAUACUUUAAUACUUUUCCCUGUAAGAAACAAAUCUGAUUGAAAUCUUUCUUGACCCUAUGGAGUUGUAACCUACUGGAGAAAGUUGACCUACUUUUUAUGUGAUUCUGUACUACCACUUCUUUAGAAGAUGAUCUGUGCCAGAUAAGAAAGGUAUUUCUGUACUAAUCCACUUGUGCUCCAAGACAUUCUUUAAAAUAAGGGUAAGUCUUUGGUUUAGGAAGAGGAGACAAAAAUAGUUCAUCAAAACAAAACAUGAAACAUCUUCUGUAACUUCACUACUUAUUAAUAACUUGCAUUUUUUGGCCAGGUUAUUAGCUUAUAAACCAGAGAAGGACACAGACUCCAUUUAUGCUCAAUAAUGAUGCCAGUGAAAGCUGCGGGACCCUGAUGUCAAUGCCACAAUGGAGAUCUAUGUCAUUGACUUUCUUGUAAAAAAAAUAGAACAUGUGUAUUUUUCGCAUCUCAUGCUAUCCAAAUACAAUUGUUUGUGUGGUUGAGCUCAUACUAUAUAUAAAAUUCUGUAGUGUUUUGAAGAUUUUUAUUUUUAAAUAAUCUGAGAAUCAUAGGAAGUUGUGAAGAUGGUACAGAGAGGUCUAUGUAGUCUUCACUCAGUUCCCCUCAAUGGUUACAUCAUAUCUAACUAUGGUUCAAUUUCAAACCAGGAAACUAACAUUUGAACAAUGUGUGUGUAGAGCCCUAACCCAUUUUAUCACUGGUGUAUUUUUGUUUAACCACCACCACAAUCAAGAUACAGAACUGUUCUGUUACACGCAGGCCUUUCUUGUGCUAUUCCUUUAGCCCCACACCUGUGUCCCUCUCCUUACCAUUCCUAAACCCUGGCAACUAGCAAGCUGUUCUCCAUCUCUGUACUUUGGUCAUUUCAAGAAUGUUAUGUAAAUGGAUGCAUAUAUUAUGUGAAUUUUUAACAUCUUUUUAAUCAGCAUAAUGCCUCUGUGUGUAGUUGGGCCACACUUAUUUAAUCCACUCUCUCAAUCUCUGUCUUUUAAUUGGUAUAUUCAGGCCAUUUACAUUUAAUGUAAGCUCACAUGAUGAAGCCUAAACCAAGGACUCAGCAGUCAGGAGAUGGGAUCUGUUAUCAAAGUCCUUACCAAAAACCCCUUGAGGGGGCUGAGGGAGGAAUAGUUUGCAGGCAUCAUCCAGGACUCCAUUAAGUCAGGAAAUGGAAUAGUUAGUUAAGAGAAGGACACUGCAAGGGAAAUGUAAGGGAAUGUGGCUUACCUUGGGAGGGAGUCCAUAGAGGUCAGGGUAGAAGUUUGUGAGGGCGCAGGGCAGGUGAGUUAAGAGAGAAGAGAAGCUGGAAGGUGAGGAGGUGACCAGACAUGCUUGCCUCAUCUCACUGCAGCUCCGUGAAGGAAGGGUGCAGCCUGGCGGGCCACAUCCGUCCCCAGCAGGAUGGAUGAGCCUGCGAAUGUGCAUUGGUAUCCCCAGGUUUGUAGGUAAUCUUCCAUCAGUCUGUACAAAAGCCUCAUGAGAUAUAUGGCUAAAUUGUUCCCACUUACAGAAAGAAGAGAGAUGGAAGGAAAUUCCUAAUUCAGAGUUAAGAGGAGGGAAAUCUGAGUGUCUAAAUUGAAGUUCUGCUGCUCAUUUUCUCAGUUUUCAGGGUGUCUAGGGAGAAGAGUCUUAGGAAUGUCCUCCAACAAAAGAGAAGGUCAAACAAUUAAAAAAAGGGUAAGUGUUGAAAAUAUGAACCAAAGAUUUCCUAGUGAGGAUGGAAGAGAAAGAACCUCUCUGGAAUUCUUUUAAAUGAAGGGAAAACACAACUGCAGUGACAUCUGAAAAAGAGUCCAAGGCAGAUGUAAAAGAAGCGGAUAUCAGAAACAGAAAUAAACAGGAGUGACAAGUUCGAAGUAACUCUGUCCUGAGAGGAGGUAAGAACAUCGUAAAGGGAUCCACUGUCUCCCUCACGGGUCGGCCUGCGAGGCUGACGAGCUGCUCCUCAGUGCGCCUGCGUGCAUCUGCCGCGUGGCGCCUGGGUUGGGAUCCCAGCAAUGGGAGGUUCCAUCCUUAUCGGUCAGUUCUGCAAAGUUGUUUUGAGGCAGCGGCAAACAAUGGCAUAGAACAAAAAAGCCUUUUAUCUCCCUGCGUUUUGGAGAUGAAAUAAAGCGUGGUUUGUGGGAAAUAUGCGCUGGUGGCACCAGUGACAACACAAGAGCAGUUAACACGAGGCGCUUCCAUUUCCUUACCUAGGGCGCAUGGGGGAGGAUGAUGAGGGUCGUCCUUCAGGUGCGACAGCCUCACCUAGGAGCGCCGCACGGCUCCACCUUUAUGAGGAAGAGGAUGGUGGGGGCAGUGCAGAGGGAGGACCGGAAAGGGAAACCAACUCCACAACGGCUCACCUGAGCCUCUUGGCCUCGGUUUUCUCGCUGCAGAUGGCAGUCAUCUCUUUCCCAGGCCGUUGGAGGAUGCAGUAGGAACGUCGCAGUGGUUUAGGAACUGUCAGACACGUGGCCACGCUCUGAGUGUGUUCCUUGCACGUUCUCUAGCUGAAGCUGCUGCUGCUCGCAUAAAGCCGAGCUCAUGCAAGGUUGGAGUGUUGCGGAAAUCCGCGCUAAGCUCAGGAGAUCCAGCUCCGUUUCACGGCAGACCUUUUGAAAAUUGCCAGGAGGCAAAUGUAGGUCUGAGGCCAAUUUGGAGGGUUUGCUCUAAAAUAGUACGUUUAUUUAUACCUGAAUUUGAAAAUUGUCUUUGUGCAACGGUCGCUCGCUAUCAGCCCAGAGCUGGCUUUCCACCCAGGCCUCGAGAGUGUAAUCAGCUGUUUGGGUUUCUCAUUCUGUGGUGAGUUUGUGAGUCCUGCCACACCGGAGUGAAAGGAAAUAUUUCUUCUAAGAUGUUAAAUUCCCACCCAAGUAAGCCGAUCAUCUCCCCAAACCUAAGGAUGUGUUUCAUUUAUUUGAGAAUGAAUCAUUCCAUUUCCCCUGGGAACUCGGGGUCUCUUCCCCGGGGUGCCUGGCCUGGCAGCUGAGGGGCGGUUGGGUCGUGUGUCUUCCCGAAGACUCCCUAACUGACACCUUGCAGCCCUGCGUGCCUGUCCUCGCUGGGGAUGGAUGGUGGCACCCAGGACUUUAAUAUUUUUUAACUUACUGAGUCCAAUUACCCUGCGGGCAGUUGAAAAGAUCUCACAAAGUUUAUUUCCUCCCUCCCCCUCGAACCCUCAAGAAAAAAAAAGAAAUCAUACCGAUGUUUAAAAAGGAAGCAAACAACCUUUUCUGAUGUCCUUUGAACUCCUGCUGGAUUAAUGCCCCACUGGCCUGUUUGAUUCACCAUUCUCCUACGAGCCAGAAGCAGUGUGCCCACUGUCCAUGGCUGAGGUGUCCACCUGUUGUGAGGCCAGCAAUGGUGCCAAGUGCAGCAGUGUGGGCUGCCCCACAGUCAAGUGCACAUCCCACAAGCCUUUUGUAUUAAGACCUAGUAGCCUUUAGGCCUCCAGAACAAUGGCUGCAAUGUGGAUUCAUUUCCUACAGCUGCUGGAACAAAUUAUACAAACUGGAUGGUGUAAAACCACAGAAAUUUAUUCUUUCACAGUUCUAGAGGCCCAAAGCCCCAAAACAAGGUGUUUGCAGGGCCAUGUUGCCCACAAAGGCUCUGGGGAACGAUCCUUCCUGGCCUCUUCCAGCUUCUGGUACUUGCCGGCAAUCCUUGAUGUCCCUUGGCUUGUGGCUGCAUCACUGUGGUCUCCGUCUCCCUCUUAACACCGUCUUCUCCAUGUGCGGCUGUGUCUUCAUAUGGCACUCUCCUCUUGUCUCUGUGUCCAAAUUUCCCUCUUCUUAUAGGACACCAGUCAUUGGAUCUAGGGCUGACCCUAACCCAGAGGGACCUCAUCUUGAUUAUAUCUACAGAGACCCUAUUUCCAAAUAAGGUCACAUUCCGAGGUUCUGGGUGAUGUGAAUUUGGGGGGACACUAUCCAACCCAGGACCCAACACUCCGAAGCAGAGCGAGGGCCCAGCAGGCUCAGCCCCUCCGGCUGCAGGUCAUCGCCAAUGUGACGAGCACGGUGCAAGAAAGGACUCUGCCUUCUCGCCCCUGGCUGAGGCAUGAAACAAUUCUUGGUACUAAAUAUGGUACAGGUUCAUUACACAAACACUUAUCAAGAGCUUACUGUGUGUCUGCCGUUUUGCCAGGCGACACGGAGGAUACAGCAGUGCCUGAAAUGCAGUCCUUGGCCUCGGUGGAUUUUCACCAUUUCCCUUAAUGAACUUCAUUCCACUAGUAACAGUAAAACGAGCAGUGAUGAGAGGCAUUCUUUGACAGUUCUUCCAAUUACUAAGAUUUGCGGUUUGGUCACACGUAGCCACAAAAAAAUGCCCUAAAUUAAUAAUUUUUUUAAAGUAUCAAUUUGUAUCUUUUGAAAUAUAAAAUAUGUUUCUUUCGAAAUACUGGGCCCAUUGAAAUAGCAGUUCUGAGAAUGAAAGGGUGAAGCACAGUAAAAUUCUAAUUGGUCCUUUUGUCUCAAAGUAUUUGGAGUGAGAUGAUCGGGGAAACGAUAUUACUAAAUACAAUAUUUUGAAAUAUCAUGCCCCUUCAUUUCAUGCAAUAAAAAGGAAAGAUAAAGUUACAAAUCUGAAGUUAUAUCAGGAAAAAAAUAGUCUCUGAAAAUAGCAAAAGAAUCCCAGGGUAAUGGCCCACCAUUUGGGUAGUAUCCCAAAUUCUUGCAAAAAGACAGAAAGGAAACAUGUGUCAGUAGAAACUCUCCCAAUUAUUAAGCUUCUUAGCUCCUUAUUAGAUUGAAUAACUAGAAAACAAGUUAAUGUUAAUAGUAUCUUUUGAUUAGACCUGAAAUCUUGUGCAUUGCUCACAACGCUUGGCCAUUCAGAAUCAUGUUUGUAGAAGUGACUCAAAUUCAUGUAAAUCAUGUUCAUAUAAAUUUUGUCUCCAUCCCUCUUCUCCUUCCCAUCUUCUUUCCUUCUUUCCUUCCCCUCCCUUCUCUCCUUCUUCCUUUUCUCUUGAUUAUAUUUUUCUUCAAUUUGCCUUUUUUUUUUUCAGUUAUGCUUAGGCCUGCCCACAGCCUCUGCAGUCGUUAACAGUUCUUAGUCCCACAGGUAACUCAAGGCUAGGGAGAGUCACCUAGCCCAGCGCUUCUCAAAGUCAGUAUGCCCACAAGCGACCUGCACUGCCUUGUGCAAAUGCAGACCUUGUCAGUAGGCCUGGAGUGAGCCCGCGAGUCCACGUUCCUGACCAGCUCCUGGUGUGUGGGCCACACAGAGCGAGGAAGGAGAUCCCUCGGUGAGAUUCCCCGGCACCUUUGUGAUGUUCAGGUACAUUUCCUUUCCCUUCAAUGUAGAGAAGACACCAAAGAGGUAACCGGGCGAGGGGAAGGGGUGAAGUCCCAGAAUUGGGGGAUGUGUGGGGGGGAAAGAGGUAGGAUUCGGAGGAUGUGACAGCACAGUCCUGAACGAAGUGAGGAGGGAGCUUCCUGGCUGGGUUUGCUUCCCUCCAGGUUGAGAAUCCAACAGAUGACCAGCCGAGGGGACGAAAUGGACAGUUACCAGGCAAGGCCUUCAGAAACCUCUAGAUGCGGGACGCAGAGUGUUCUCGGGACUCACGCACAUACCAUCAGAUUGGUGGGCUCCAUGCUCGCACUUCCCGUUGCCGUUUUAACCAUUCUCUGAUCUUGUCCGGAUUUUGAACAUCUCUCAGAGGAGAGGGGCAUUUCCUGGGACCAACAAACAUCCAAAUUAACCAUUGCCAGACCACCCACCAUGAUUCAUGCUAAGGUCACUUAGCGAACAAAGAAGAAAGACUGAAAAAGCCAAUUCACUGCUGCCAAGGAGGGUGUGUGCAAGGAGCUGCACAGUAUGAACACCAAAGCUUCAACGUGAGUCAUCACUGAUUCACCACCUUCAUUUUCUUCUUGAUGCUUAAAUUGUGUUCUCAAAGGCCAGCUCCUCCGAAACAACAGAUCCAAACUGCUGGCAACAUUUACAGCCUGUGGCAUUUCAGUUGAAGUGACAGAGCCAUACUUAAACAUUGGAAAUUGAAAAUAAUCUCUUCAAAUGACAGAUCCUUGCCUUUUGUUACAACGACCAUGUCCUUUAUAUUUCUUUACUUUAGGACUUUCUCUUCAUGUUAACAAUCAAGUGAUUACCAUAUUAAGGUUGCUGCAGUGUGCAAAUGGUUAUAAAAUAAAUGCAAACAAUAAUAAAUAUUCUUAUUGCUCUUCUUGUUACUAUUCCAAUAGUGGUAAAUCUGGGCCAUUCUUGACUGCUAUACAAGAAACAAGGUGAGACGAAAAGGAAGUCCUCGAC